CCAGAACACACAUGAAAAUAGAACUUUGGCCCGCAGAGUGCAGCAGCUGGCCCAGGAAGCCAGCCCUCCCCUGCAAACGGCCACCCAGGAAGCCAGCCUGCGGCGAGGCCGACGCGCAGGAGCCAGACGAUGAUCUCGAGUGACAAUCCAGGAAGCUAAACGGUAACUUCUGGAACAAUCGGCCCCCGAAGGCCAGGACUUGAUCAGUGUGUCAGUUUCCACUGUCUUUUGUCCCUGCUUAGAACUCGGGACCCCCAGAGGCUGAUGAAGCUGUUCUUCUAGCCCAGCGGCUCUCCCACGUCAGCUCCGACCUCUCUGGGAGCCCGGGGCCUGGUGGCCGCCCAUCUGUCCUACGACCCCUUAGAGCUUCUUUCAGGGCCUCUGAGAGUAUUGCCGAAGGAGCAGCUGCGAGGCCCACCUCAGCUCCCUAAAGCACCCGUCCUAAAAGCCGAGGUGGGGAAAGAAAGUAAGGCUGGGGAACGAGGGGCCCAGACGCCCGGUUACAGCAGACGUCACGCCAGGAGGUUCACCACGCCAGCCUCCGACCCCCGGCACCCGGCUUAAAUCUCCCGAAGGCUCCGCGACGCAGGACUUGUCACCACUGCACAGGCAGGAAAACGGGGGCCAAGGGAAGUUAAAUAGUCCCGGUCGGGGGGAGAAGGGGCAGGAUUCGGGGCCAAGCUGGUCGGCUCCAGGGCCCUGGUGGGCGUCCUCGCUGCACCCAUGUGGCCUGUGCUUCCGGUGUGUGCCGCUCCGCCACCCCCGGGCGCAGCCGUCGGGACCCCGGGCAGAAAGGACAGCGGUACUUGCUGGACCUCAGAGGCUAACACCCCAGAGUCCGCUCCUCCAGCCAGGAAGCCAGAGGGGAGAACCAGGCGAGGUGGAGCCCGCGGCCUGUGGACCUGUGCUCACAGGGGCUCCAGAGAGCGCUGGGCCUGACCUCCAGGCACGAGGCAGAUUUACGUGAAUGCUGAUGUCCGGACCUUCCGAGAGGAAGGCAUUCCACUUACUUCCUGCUGCUCUGACAUCAGACGGCAUCAGCGCCGGCCCCCAGUGCCCAGUGCGGGUGCAGCCUGACCUCCCCGGCCCCCACCACAGAGACCCCGUGUCCCCGGGACAGUAGCAGGUCUCUGAAACUGUAAAGCCCUUUCCCUGCAUUCCCUGCUUCCCUCUCAGAAGGUUCUACCAAAUUUAGAGCCGAAAACACCCAUGAGCAUCUACAGCCCCAUCAGAGGGUGGGCUUCUCAGGGCUUUCCUCCACACCGGGCGGCUGGAGACGUUCAGCGGGCCAGAUGCUCCCUGGAGAAGCCACCCCCUACCCCAGACGAAAGAACAAAAGACCCUCCCCUGGGGCCUGCUGCCAGAGGAUGGCCCAGUGGGACCCUGAGGAAGAGGCUUAGACCACAUACUCAGAGGGAGGGGAGGACAACCUGAAGCCACUGUGGAGGGAUUUACAGAAACCGGGAAUUAAAUCAGAGGCUCCCGGGCGUUGGAAUCCUUUGACUUCUGCCUUGUUAAAAAUCUUUCUGGUAUUAAAAAAAAGCAAAUCCAAAAUAGUGUGGCUGGAUGGGCAGGAAGAUCUGCUAAUGUCAUCACUGAGGCUGCCACCCAGUUCUCUGAAGAAUUAGAAAGAACAGUCUUUGUCUUACUCCUCGAAUCUUUACAGAGCAGAAGUGUGGCUCCAGAAGUCACCCAAGGACCACCCAGCCUUCUCACCACCCGCACUCAGGAUGCUUGCAGGCACUGCAAAAUGCUGGACACCGUGAAGGGGCUGUCCUGCUUCUUUUCCAGAGGAACUUCCUCCUUUGCAAAAAAGGAGGAGAACACGAGGAGGAAAUUGCCCUAGUUCUCUAGUAACAGGAGACUUCUACCUGCUUUGUCAAAGGAAGAUCAAAAUGGCGCUGGUGUUGCCAGGAGAGCCUCUGAAACGGAGCCGCAGGCCCCUGGGGAGGUGGGGCUUAUGCGUGUCUCAGCCCAGAUGGAAUCUCAACUCUGACCACUUACCGUCUUGACGCAGGCAUCCAGAACAUCUGCAGUGUUCUAGAAACUCAAGAUACUUAUCAGACCCUUGCCCUAAAUAAUUUUUGACAGCCCAUCCCCUAAGGACAAAUAUUUCCUCUCUUCUGUCAGAGUCAAUUACAAUUCUUGCCAGACAACUUCAACAGCCCUGUGGCUUUUUGCCUUUAGAAGCCCCUGACGCUUCCUCUUCCCUGGAACACUCCUGUAGUUUCACCUGAAUCUGUGUCCCUCAAGUUGCAAUUCUUAAAGACCCCAAAUAAAGCUCUUUGUUCUCUGCAGCGCCAA